rnacentral:pre_miRNA from 1 species
UAUAUACUCCCUCCGUUCGGAAUUACUUGUCGCAGAAACGGAUGUAUCUAGAUAUAUUUUAGUUCUAGAUACAUCCAUAUCCAAGACAAGUAAUUCCGAAUGGAGGGAGUAGAAA